rnacentral:rRNA from 1 species
AAUGAACGUUGGCGGCGUGGAUUAGGCAUGCAAGUCGUGCGGCAGCGGGCCCUUCGGGGUGCCGGCGAGCGGCGAAAGGGAGAGUAACGCGUGGGUAACCUACCUUUAGAUCUGGGAUAGCAGCGGGAAACUGCUGGUAAUACCGGAUAAUGUCCCCGGACCAAAGGUGUGAUUCCGUCUAGAGAUGGGCCCGCGUCCUAUUAGCUUGUUGGUGGGGUAAUGGCCUACCAAGGCUGUGAUGGUACCGGGUGUGAGAGCAUGGCCCGGCUCACUGGGACUGAGACACUGCCCAGACACCUACGGGUGGCUGCAGUCGAGAAUCUUCGGCAAUGGGCGCAAGCCUGACCGAGCGACGCCGCGUGCGGGAUGAAGGCCUUCGGGUUGUAAACCGCUGUCAGAGGGGAAGAAAUGCUAUAGGGUUCUCUCUAUAGUUUGACUGAUCCUCAGAGGAAGCACGGGCUAAGUUCGUG